UAAUGACGAUGAUGAUGAUGAUGAUGAUGAUGAUGAUGGUGACGGUCAUCUCUGCAUUAAGAGCAUCAUCAUCAUCAUCAUCAUCAUCACCACCACCA
rnacentral:pre_miRNA from 1 species